rnacentral:rRNA from 1 species
GCGACUAAGCGUACACGGUGGAUGCCCCGCAGUCAGAGGCGAUGAAGGGCGUGCUAAUCUGCGAUAAGCGCCGGUAAGGUGAUAUGAACCGUUAUAACCGGCGAUACCCGAAUGGGGACCCAGUGUGUUUCGACACACUAUCAUUAACUGAAUCCAUAGGUUAAUGAGGCGAACCGGGGAACUGAAACAUCUAAGUACCCCGAGGAAAAGAAAUCAACCCCCAGUAGCGGCGAGCGAACGGGGAGGAGCCCAGAGCCUGAAUCAGCAUGUGUUAGUGGAAGCGUCUGGAAAGGCGCGCGAUACAGGGUGACAGCCCCGUACACAAAAGCGCAUGUGCUGUGAGCUCGAUGAGUAGGGCGGGACACGUGGUAUCCUGUCUGAAUAUGGGGGACCAUCCUCCGCUAAAUACUCCUGACUGACCGAUAGUGAACCAGUACCGUGAGGGAAAGGCGAAAAGAACCCCGGCGAGGGAGUGAAAAGAACCUGAAACCGUGUACGUACAAGCAGUGGGAGCACCUUGGGGUGUGACUGCGUACCUUUGUAUAAUGGGUCAGCGACUUAUAUUCUGUAGCAAGGUUAACCGAAUAGGGGAGCCGGAGGAACCGAGUCAAUUGGGCGUUAAGUUGCAGGGUAUAGACCCGAAACCCGGUGAUUCAGCCAUGGGCAGGUUGAAGGUUGGGUAACACUAACUGGAGGACCGACUAAUGUUGAAAAUUAGCGGAUGACCUGUGGCUGGGGUGAAAGGCCAAUCAAACCGGGAGAUAGCUGGUUCUCCCGAAAGCUAUUUAGGUAGCGCCUGAAUUCAUCUCCGGGGUAGAGCACUGUUUCGGCUAGGGGCCAUCCCGGCUUACCAACCCGAUGCAAACUGCGAAUACCAAGAAUGACACACGGCGGGUGCUAACGUCCGUCGUGAAGAGGGAAACAACCCAGACCGCCAGCUAAGGUCCCAAAGUCAUGGUUAAGUGGGAAACGAUGUGGGAAGGCCCAGACAGCCGUGAUGUUGGCGAAGCAGCCAUCAUUUAAAGAAAGCGUAAUAGCUCACUGGUCGAGUCGGCCUGCGCGGAAGAUGUAACGGGCUAAACCAUGCACCGAAGCUGCGGCAGCGACGCUGAUGCGUUGUUGGGGGGAGCGUUCUGUAAGCCCGUGAAGGUGGCCUGUGAGGGUUGCUGGAGGUAUCAGAAGUGCGAAUGCUGACAUAAGUAACGAUAAAGGGUGAAAAGCCCGCUCGCCGGAAGACCAAGGGUUCCUGUCCAACGUUAAUCGGGCAGGUGAGUCGACCCGCGAGGCCGAAAGGCGUAGUCGAUGGGAAACGGGUUAAUAUUCCCGUACUUGGUGUUACUGCGAAGGGGGACGGAGAAGGCUAUGUUGGCCGGGCGACGGUUGUCCCGGUUUAAGCGUGUAGGUGUGUUCCGUGUAAAUCCGGUUCACUUUAACACUGAGGCGUGAUGACGAGGCACUACGGUGCUGAAGCAACAAAUGCCCUGCUUCCGUGAAAGCCUCUAAGCAUCAGGUAACAUCAAAUCGUACCCCAAACCGACACAGGUGGUCAGGUAGAGAAUACCAAGGCGCUUGAGAGAACUCGGGUGAAGGAACUAGGCAAAAUGGUGCCGUAACUUCGGGAGAAGGCACGCUGACACGUAGGUGAAGUGAUUUACUCAUGGAGCUGAAGUCAGUCGAAGAUACCAGCUGGCUGCAACUGUUUAUUAAAAACACAGCACUGUGCAAACACGAAAGUGGACGUAUACGGUGUGACGCCUGCCCGGUGCCGGAAGGUUAAUUGAUGGGGUCAGCGCAAGCGAAGCUCCUGAUCGAAGCCCCGGUAAACGGCGGCCGUAACUAUAACGGUCCUAAGGUAGCGAAAUUCCUUGUCGGGUAAGUUCCGACCUGCACGAAUGGCGUAAUGAUGGCUGGCUGUCUCCACCCGAGACUCAGUGAAAUUGAACUCGCUGUGAAGUGUACCCGCGGCAAGACGGAAAGACCCGUGAACCUUUACUAUAGCUUGACACUGAACAUUGAGCCUGAUGUAGGAUAGGUGGGAGGCUUUGAAGUGUGGACGCCAGUCUGCAUGGAGCCGACCUUGAAAUACCACCCUUAAUGUUUGAUGUUCUAACGUGGACCCGUGAUCCGGGUUGCACAGUGUCUGGUGGGUAGUUUGAUGGGGCGGUCUCCUCCAAAGAGUAACGGAGGAGCACGAAGGUUGGCUAAUCUCGGUCGGACAUCAGGAGGUUAGUGCAAUGGCAUAAGCCAGCUUGACUGCGAGCGUGACGGCGCGAGCAGGGCGAAAGCAGGUCAUAGUGAUCCGGUGGUUCUGAAUGGAAGGGCCAUCGCUCAACGGAUAAAAGGUACCCGGGGAUAACAGGCUGAUACCGCCCAAGAGUUCAUAUCGACGGCGGUGUUUGGCACCUCGAUGUCGGCUCAUCACAUCCGGGCUGAAGUAGGUCCCAGGGUAUGGCUGUUCGCCAUUUAAAGUGGUACGCGAGCUGGGUUUAGAACGUCGUGAGACAGUUCGGUCCCUAUUCGCCGUGGGCGCUGGAGAACUGAGGGGCUGCCUGAGUGAGAGGACCGGGUGGACGCAUCACUGGUGUUCGGGUUGUCAUGCCAAUGGCACUGCCCGGUAGCUAAAUGCGGAAGAGAUAAGUGCUGAAAGCAUCUAAGCACGAAACUUGCCCCGAGAUGAGUUCUCCCUGAGACUUUAGGUCUCCUGAAGGAACGUUGAAGACGACGACGUUGAUAGGCCGGGUGUGUAAGCGCAGCGAUGCGUUGAGCUAACCGGUACUAAUGAACCGUGAGGCUUAACCUUACAACGCCGAAG